CUGUGCUAGAUGGGAAGUUGGCGGUGUCCUGUAACCUGCAAUCCGCCUUAGCAGGGUCGAACGCCUAUUAGAGGCCUGUCGUUGUGAGGUCUGCCCCGUACAAGUGGCGAUGAGAUUUGGGUCUUGUGCAAUGAAAGCCUAUGAACCUCGUCAGAUCCGGAAGGAAGCAGCGAUAAGUAGUCACUUUCAUGUGCCACAAGGGUGCCUGAGUUGAGUUAACUAUACGGGUCACGCUUGUAACGGCUUGUCGAUAUAGGUGCACAG
rnacentral:SRP_RNA from 1 species